CUUUAGGGAUUGUAGUGGAAAUCCUUUUUUGCCCCUCUUUUUGGGGCAAAAAAGAUUAUUUCACAAUAUUAUAUUUC
rnacentral:sRNA from 1 species